GACAGGUAGAGUGGGAGGGGAGGAGGAGAGGAGACAGGUUGGCUGGAGGAGCAAAUGAAGGAAUGUAGUCCUUUUUUCUCUCUCUCUCUCUCUCCUCCUCCUCCUCUCAUUUCUUCUUUUUUCCU